rnacentral:tRNA from 1 species
UGGGCUGUCGCCAAGUGGUAAGGCAACGGACUUUGACUCCGUCAUCCCGCUGGUCCGAAUCCAGCCAGCCCAGCCA